AUCGUUAGAGGGCGAUAAACCUACAAUUAAAGUCGCUUCUAAAUAUUAUUUUAUAAAUAAUAGAAAGUGUUACUUGAAAUUUCAAUCUAAAUAGUAAAUUAAAGUACUGUUUGUAGUGCUUUUUGGUAGUUUCGUAUAGACAUUCAAGUCUCUUCUUACUGGAUUGCCACAUGCAGCAUUAAGGAUAUAAAUCAUUCAAGGAAAUACCUAGUUGAGGUUUCAUAAAAAGUUUAACUGAAGAUGCAAUCUGUACAUAAGUCUAUAGAUACAAAAUCUAGGAAAAUAUGUUCCGUACCACAGUGUUCAUCAUAUUGUACGAAAGAUAUAUCAUUGCAUGCCUUUCCCUUAGAUCCCAAGCUAAAUAAAGCUUGGAAAACUGUACUGAAAAUUGGAAAACCUGUGACAAAAUAUAUGUUAGUUUGCAGCCACCAUUUUACUAAAAGUGAUUUUACUAUGACAACCAGUAAGAGACGGAGAUUGAAGAAACAUAUAAUUCCCAGUAAAAAAAUUCCGCAGCCGAGUCAUCCAACAACAAAAACAGCAAUUAAUCGGACAGACCAGCAUUGGUUGCAGAAAUGUGCGUGUGUGUCUAAAGAACAAAUGGAAAUUGAAAGUGAAGGUUCAUUACAACCUGAUGACAAUGUGGACAUGGGAAAGGGACCUGCAAUAAUAUCAAAGUCAGAUAAAGGUGUUAUAGUCUCACAUGUAGGCACAAUUUCUACUGAUUUUACUGAAGAUAAGGCAACACAAACUGAAUUUUAUGACUUUUUUCAGCUGUCACAAAUUUGAAAUUCUGAUGAUAAGUUGAUUAAUUUUUGUGGAAUCACUUCUGAUACCUUGAAAACUCUCAAAAUGUGCCCAAAAUACAGCAACUUUUAACAAAUGCAACUGGCGCAAUGGUAAAAUGUAACCCAUUGUUAUAUUGCACAUUGGUUUGAUAUUACUCAUGGAAAAGUUGAUGAAAAAAUAUUUUUUGAUAUAUUUAAAUGAAACCAAUAAUAAAAAUAUUAGUAAUAGGUAAUUGAAAAAGUGCAACUACAUUUGGUGAUCAGUUGGAUAUUUUUAUUGCCAAUUCUAUAAAUUUCUAUGAAAUCUGACAUGACUUUAACUUUUUGGAUGGUAAAUUAAACUGGUAGUAUAAAAUUAAUGAAAAAAAAUGUCUUAUUUAUUAUAUAUUUAAACAAUAAACAAGCAGCAUAUGUUAAAAAUAAUUUACCAAGAUUUUUUUAAUCAUUUCUGCUGCAAAAUUCUUAUUCAAAUCUACAAGAUUUUGCACGGCUAGAAUAUAGAAUUAAUGUGGAAUUUAAACCUAGAAGAAUCAUACCCAUAGCAAUGAUGCCUCUCUUUAUUGUAGCUCCUGAAUUAGUUUUCUCAUAUAAUCACAAGGUUUCAAGAAAACUUCAGAAAGGUUAUCAUUUCCUAAAAUACUUACACAGUGGACUCUCGUCAAUCUCGGCAGAUAUCAGACUAGGGUUGAGCCAGAUUACUAGAAAAUUGUAGUAAAAAUUCACAAAAAAUACAAAAGAACUCGAGUUUUAUUUUUAAGUUUUAGGUAAAAAGUACAUUUACAGACAAAAAGAAUUUAAUUGUCUCUUUUAAAAAAUAAUCGUCUUAGGCUCUGCUUAUUGUAAACAGAAACGUAAACAUAAUAAGACUUGCAGUUCUGGUGGACUAUUCUAUUGGAGUAAAUAAACUGUCAAUUUUCUUUUGCUUCUUGUCUUGAAGCGACACUUUUGACGCAUUCUCUUAAAGCCUCUUUAAAAUAAGAUUAUCAUUUUCUUCUGACCACUUUAUGGAAUUAUCAAAGACACCCAAUGCAGCAUCGUGGCUAACUAAAUGAACAGCAGAUGCUUUAUCUCCAUCAACACCAUCUUCUUCUUCCCUACUCAACACAUCUUCGAUUAUUUCGCUGUCUGUUAUAAACUGGCCGUUUUCUUCUUCCUCGCCGGCUAACCACAGGCUCACAUCAUCUGUAGUUAAACUUUCACUUUCGUCACUUUUGGGUAGAUUUUCCCAAUAUGUUCGCAAUUGCAAAAACCACAUUUUCCAAGUUCAUUUUUUUAACGAAUUCAGGACAUAAUCAGACAAAAUCUUGUACAGCAAAUCUUUUUGAUAUUACAUUUUUAUUUCUUGGAUAACAUACUGAUCCAUUGGUUGUAAAAGAGGAGAAACGUUAAGGGGCAAGAACAUAACUUAUCAGUCUAUAGUCGAUACAGUGCUUUGGACGUUUUGUGGCAAAGUUAUGAAUUCGGAUUUUAACCAAUCUUUUUAGCGGUGGAAUAAACAUGAUUGAAGAGUUUGACUAAUAUUCCUAUGUUUUCUUCAUUUAUAAGCUUUAGCAUCUCUGUUGGAAUAUUGUCAGGUCCAAGAGCUUUCUUGUUUUUUGCCAUCUUUGUAGCAUGUAUCACUUCUGAUUUUAGUAUUUCUAGUCUUUCGUCUUCAUCAAAUGCCAUUUGUUCUUCUGGUCCAGAGUCAUUAUACAAUUCUUUGAUAUAUACACACACCAAGUUUUUCGAAUUUCUUCUUCAUAUAGGAUUAUUUUUCCUUUUGAAACCCUUAAGGUAUGAGGAGUCUUCUUGUUGUAUAGGCCAGCUAGUUUUCUGACUUAUUUAAACAUAUUGAACGUGUCAUGUUUGUGUUGUCUUUUUGCCAUUAGGUAAAAUUGUAGUGUCUUGUUAAUGUAAAUUAAAGGUGCAAUAAUAUGUUUGCAUAAGGUUGCCAUGUCGCCAAACCUAAAAACCGGACAUACCAGCCAGUUUGGCCGGGCAUUUGGGUAGAAAGGCUGGGCACCACAAGUUCUAGUAAAAUAAUAGAUAAAAUCGAAUGCCAAAACAGACUUAGGUAGGUACUUUAUUAAUAAUAAUCUAAUAGUCAUCAGUCAAAAUUAAAUUCUAGAAGCUUAAACAUUUAUCAAAAUAUUUAAAUUAUUCUUAAAUACUAAAGAGAGGCACUGAACUGAAAAGAAAUAAUCGAAAUCUUCUUUUCUCUAAGCUAAACAAUAAAAAAAAAGAAAACUUCUUCUCUUUGAGUUACACAAUAAAAAUAAUUAAUUUAAGAGCUUAGUUUCUUUCAAAAUGUAUUUGUUAAA